rnacentral:rRNA from 1 species
CAAUAGCGUAUAUUAAAGUUGUUGCAGUUAAAAGCUCGUAGUUGAAUUUCUAAGCAACUAAUCAGUCGUUUCGGCUUAUUAGUUGUUUAUCCGACAAUGAACCAUGUCGGUUAUUAAGUUAACCCCAUGGAGAACUGUCAUUUUACUUUGAAAAAUUAGAGUGUUUCAGGCAGGCAAUUGCCCGAAUAUCUUAGCAUGGAAUAAUGGAAUAGGACUUUGGUUCAUUUUAUUGGUUAUUGAAUCAGAGUAAUGAUUAAUAGGGACAGUUGGGGGCAUUAGUAUUUAAUUGUCAGAGGUGAAAUUCUUGGAUUUAUUAAAGACUAUCUUAUGCGAAAGCAUUUGCCAAGGAUGUUUUCAUUAAUCAAGAACGAAAGUUAGGGGAUCGAAGAUGAUCAGAU